AGCGAACGCUGGCGGCAGGCCUAACACAUGCAAGUCGAACGAACUCUUCGGAGUUAGUGGCGGACGGGUGAGUAACACGUGGGAACGUGCCUUUAGGUUCGGAAUAACUCAGGGAAACUUGUGCUAAUACCGAAUGUGCCCUUCGGGGGAAAGAUUUAUCGCCUUUAGAGCGGCCCGCGUCUGAUUAGCUAGUUGGUGAGGUAAAGGCACACCAAGGCGACGAUCAGUAGCUGGUCUGAGAGGAUGAUCAGCCACAUUGGGACUGAGACACGGCCCAAACUCCUACGGGAGGCAGCAGUGGGGAAUCUUGCGGAAUGGGCGAAAGCCUGACGCAGCCAUGCCGCGUGAAUGAUGAAGGUCUUAGGAUUGUAAAAUUCUUUCACCGGGGACGAUAAUGACGGUACCCGGAGAAGAAGCCCCGGCUAACUUCGUG
rnacentral:rRNA from 1 species